rnacentral:misc_RNA from 1 species
GAUGAAGAACGUAGCGAAAUGCGAUAAGUAAUGCGAAUUGCAGAAUUCAGUGAGUCAUCGAAUCUUUGAACGCACAUUGCGCCCGCCAGUAUUCUGGCGGGCAUGCCUGUUCGAGCGUCAUUACAACCCUCAGGCCCCCGGGCCUGGCGUUGGGGAUCGGCGGAGCCCCCCGUGGGCACACGCCGUCCCCCAAAUACAGUGGCGGUCCCGCCGCAGCUUCCAUCGCGUAGUAGCUAACACCUCGCGACUGGAGAGCGGCGCGGCCACGCCGUAAAACACCCAACUCUUCUGAAGUUGACCUCGAAUCAGGUAGGAAUACCCGCUGAACUUAAGCAUAUCAAUAAGCGGAGGA